ACGGAGAGUUUGAUCCUGGCUCAGGAUGAACGCUGGCGGCGUGCCUAACACAUGCAAGUCGAACGGGAACCCUUGGAUUCGUCUGGGGGGGAGAGUGGCGAACGGGUGAGUAACACGUAGGUGACCUGCCCCGAAGAGGGGAAUAACCACUGGAAACGGUGGCUAAUACCCCAUGUGGCCUAUCGAUUCGUCGGUAGAUUAAAGUGCCCCUUACGGGGUUGCGCUUCGGGAGGGGCCUGCGGCCCAUCAGGUAGUUGGUAGGGUAAUGGCCUACCAAGCCGAUGACGGGUAGGGGGCGUGAGAGCGUGAUCCCCCACACUGGCACUGAGAUACGGGCCAGACUCCUACGGGAGGCAGCAGUGAGGAAUAUUGCCCAAUGGACGCAAGUCUGAGGCAGCAACGCCGCGUGAGCGAUGAAGGCCUUCGGGUUGUAAAGCUCUUUUCUGGGGGACGAGGAAGGACGGUACCUCAGGAAUAAGUCACGGCUAACUACGUGCCAGCAGCCGCGGUAAUACGUAGGUGGCGAGCGUUAUCCGGAUUUAUUGGGCGUAAAGCGCGUGCAGGCGGUUCUGUAAGUCGGACGUGAAAGCUCCUGGCUUAACUGGGAGAGGUCGUUCGAUACUGCAGGACUUGAGGUCGGGAGAGGGACGUGGAAUUCCCGGUGUAGUGGUGGAAUGCGUAGAGAUCGGGAGGAACACCAGUGGCGAAGGCGGCGUCCUGGCCCGCACCUGACGCUGAGACGCGAAAGCGUGGGUAGCGAACGGGAUUAGAUACCCCGGUAGUCCACGCCGUAAACGGUGGAUACUAGGUGUUGGUGGCUAUCGUCAUCAGUGCCGUAGCUAACGCGUUAAGUAUCCCGCCUGGGAACUACGGCCGCAAGGCUAAAACUCAAAGGAAUUGACGGGGGCCCGCACAAGCGGCGGAGCGUGUGGUUUAAUUCGAGGCAACACGAAGAACCUUACCUGGGUUUGACAUGCACGUAGUAGUGAAGCGAAAGCAGAUCGAUCCUUCGGGAAGCGUGCACAGGUGCUGCAUGGCUGUCGUCAGCUCGUGCCGUGAGGUGUUCGGUUAAGUCCGGUAACGAGCGCAACCCUCGCUGUUAGUUACAUGUGUCUAACGGGACUGCCGGUUUAUUGCCGGAGGAAGGUGGGGAUGACGUCAAGUCAGCAUGGCCUCUAUAUCCAGGGCUACACACACGCUACAAUGGCCGGUACAAUGGGUUGCCAAACCGCGAGGUGGAGCUAAUCCCCCAAAGCCGGUCUCAGUUCGGAUUGCAGGCUGCAACUCGCCUGCAUGAAGUUGGAGUUGCUAGUAACCGCGCGUCAGCUAUAGUGCGGUGAAUGCGUUCCCGGGCCUUGUACACACCGCCCGUCACGUCAUGGGAGCUGGUAACACCUGAAGCCGGUGGGCUAACCGAAAGGGGGCAACUGUCGAAGGUGGGACUGGUGACUGGGACGAANUCGUAACAAGGUAGCCGUAGCGGAAGCUGCGGCUGG
rnacentral:rRNA from 1 species